UACGUAGGGGGCUAGCGUUAUCCGGAUUUACUGGGCGUAAAGGGUGCGUAGGCGGUCUUUCAAGUCAGGAGUGAAAGGCUACGGCUCAACCGUAGUAAGCUCUUGAAACUGUAAGACUUGAGUGCAGGAGAGGAGAGUGGAAUUCCUAGUGUAGCGGUGAAAUGCGUAGAUAUUAGGAGGAACACCAGUGGCGAAGGCGAUUCUCUGGACUGUGACUGACGCUGAGGCUCGAAAGCGUGGGGAGCAAACAGGAUUAGAUACCCCCGUAGUCCCU
rnacentral:rRNA from 1 species